rnacentral:rRNA from 1 species
AUUCCUACGGGGGGCAGCAGUGGGGGAUAUUGCACAAUGGGGGAAACCCUGAUGCAGCGACGCCGCGUGUGGGAAGACGGUCCUCUGGAUUGUAAACCACUGUCCCCAGGGACGAAAAUGACGGUACCUGGGGAGGAAGCUCCGGCUAACUCCGUGCCAGCAGCCGCGGUAAUACGGAGGAUGCGAGCGUUAUCCGGAUUUAUUGGGUUUAAAGGGUGCGUAGGCGGACUGUUAAGUCAGCGGUAAAAGCCCGGGGCUAAACCCCGGCGAGCCGUUGAAACUGGCUGUCUUGAGAUGUCGAGAGG